rnacentral:rRNA from 1 species
AUUGAACGCUGGCGGCAGGCCUAACACAUGCAAGUCGAACGAGUGGCGGACGGGUGAGUAAUGUCUGGGAAACUGCCUGAUGGAGGGGGAUAACUACUGGAAACGGUAGCUAAUACCGCAUACCAUCGGAUGUGCACAGAUGGGCUUAGCUAGUAGGUGGGGUAAAGGCUCACCUAGGCGACGAUCCCUAGCUGGUCUGAGAGGAUGACCAGCGACACUGGAAAGGUGACACGUGCCAGACUCCUACGGGAGGCACCAGUGGGGAAUAUUGGAAAUGUGGCACAAGCCUGAGGCACCCAUGCCGGUUGUGUUGAGAAGGCCUUCGGGUUUUAAAGCACUUUCAGCGGGGAGGCGUUACCCGCAGAAGAAGCACCGGCUAACUCCGUGCCAGCAGCCGCGGUAAUAC